GGUCACAAUAUCUAUGGUCUUCUACCAGAGGGAGAUCUUUUUGUUCUUAGAAGAACCAAGCAUCCAUUUGAAAGCUGUUCCUAAAGUGGGUCUCUAUACAAAUCUAAUCAAUGCCACAGAGAUUUCAGACGAUGCAGAUGAGAAACACAUGGCCCUGUCAGAGAAAGUAUCUGACAUUCAGCCUGGACACGCCACCAACCCAAGUCAUCUUUCUUUUUGGGUGCCAAGUUUCCAGACCGUCAAGACAGGGAUUCUUUCCUACACUGGGCAUCUCUGAGUCUCUGAAAUAAUAAAUUCCCUUGUAAUUUCUUCGAG